AACGAACGCUGGCGGCAGGCCUAACACAUGCAAGUCGAACGCCGUAGCAAUACGGAGUGGCAGACGGGUGAGUAACACGUGGGAACAUACCCUUCGGUUCGGAAUAACUCAGGGAAACUUGAGCUAAUACCGGAUACGUCCGCGAGGAGAAAGAUUCAUCGCCGGAGGAUUGGCCCGCGUCUGAUUAGCUUGUUGGUGAGGUAACGGCUCACCAAGGCGACGAUCAGUAGCUGGUCUGAGAGGAUGAUCAGCCACAUUGGGACUGAGACACGGCCCAAACUCCUACGGGAGGCAGCAGUGGGGAAUAUUGGACAAUGGGCGCAAGCCUGAUCCAGCCAUGCCGCGUGAGUGAUGAAGGCCCUAGGGUUGUAAAGCUCUUUUACCCGGGAAGAUAAUGACUGUACCGGGAGAAUAAGCCCCGGCUAACUUCGUGCCAGCCGCCGCCGUAAG
rnacentral:rRNA from 1 species